UACGUAGGUGGCAAGCGUUGUCCGGAAUUACUGGGCGUAAAGGGCGUGUAGGCGGCCUUUUAAGUCAGACGUGAAAUCCAUGGGCUUAACCCAUGAAUUGCGUUUGAAACUGGAGGGCUUGAGGAUCGGAGAGGGCAGUGGAAUUCCCAGUGUAGCGGUGAAAUGCGUAGAUAUUGGGAGGAACACCAGUGGCGAAGGCGAGUCCCUGGACAACUCCUGACACUGAGGCACGAAAGCUAGGGGAGCAAACAGG
rnacentral:rRNA from 1 species